AGUGAACGCUGGCGGUAGGCCUAACACAUGCAAGUCGAACGGCAGCACAGUAAGAGCUUGCUCUUACGGGUGGCGAGUGGCGGACGGGUGAGGAAUACAUCGGAAUCUACUUUUUCGUGGGGGAUAACGUAGGGAAACUUACGCUAAUACCGCAUACGACCUACGGGUGAAAGCAGGGGAUCUUCGGACCUUGCGCGAUUGAAUGAGCCGAUGUCGGAUUAGCUAGUUGGCGGGGUAAAGGCCCACCAAGGCGACGAUCCGUAGCUGGUCUGAGAGGAUGAUCAGCCACGCUGGAACUGAGACACGGUCCAGACUCCUACGGGAGGCAGCAGUGGGGAAUAUUGGACAAUGGGCGCAAGCCUGAUCCAGCCAUACCGCGUGGGUGAAGAAGGCCUUCGGGUUGUAAAGCCCUUUUGUUGGGAAAGAAAAGCAGCAGGUUAAUACCCCGCUGUUCUGACGGUACCCAAAGAAUAGGCACCGGCUAACUUCGUG
rnacentral:rRNA from 1 species